AAGUCGUAACAAGGUUUCCGUAGGUGAACCUGCGGAAGGAUCAUUACAUUCAGUAGCUUGCUACUGUUAAGGGGGUCUGUCAGCCUGUAUAGUAUCACUACUGAUGAGCAGCGCGACCCUCUGUCUGUACCCUUGUCUUUUGCGUACUCAUGUUUCCUCGGCGGGCUUAAAGCUGCCGGCUGGACAACUCUAUAACCUUUUUAAUUUUCAAUCAGCGUCUGAAAAACCUAAUAAUUACAACUUUCAACAACGGAUCUCUUGGUUCUG
rnacentral:misc_RNA from 1 species